AGAAGUCCCCUGGAGAAGCGCUUCCCUCUCUCCUUUCCAGGACCACAAUUCCCAGAACCUUCAGCUUCCCGGCGGUUCCCUUUUUUACUCGAUCUCUCCUCGGGCUGGUGGGGUUCAGCCGGCCGGCAGGCACGGAGCGGACGUCGUGAUUCGUCGGGACUGGGCGCAGGGUUUCCUUAGCGGCCUGUUUUGCUCCCCACUCGGUGAUUCCCUUUACAGGCCGUCGCGGCUGGCCUGAGCGGUGACCUGGCGGGCCGCGCCUGCGCUCUGCCCCGUUUCCUGCCUGGCUGGUGGCGGUGGCCAUUUUGUUCAUCCUCCUCCUCCUCCUGCUCCUCCUGGUUGGAGCGCAGUGUCCGGAGCGGGCUGGGGGGAGAGAGCCCGAGAGCAGGGUUCGGUGGCUUUUCCUCUGUCCCCAGCCGGUGCCCGGAGCCCCCCUCCCCUUCCUCCCCACCCCCUCCCCUCCCCAGCCCUGCCCUCCCCCUUGUCCCGGGAUCGCUCCGUCGCACCCACCAUGAUGGAAGACGACGGGCAGCCCCGGACUCUAUACGUAGGUAACCUCUCCAGAGAUGUGACAGAAGUCCUUAUUCUUCAGUUAUUCAGUCAGAUUGGACCCUGUAAAAGCUGUAAAAUGAUAACAGAGCAACCCGAUAGCAGAAGGGUCAACUCUUCUGUUGGAUUUUCUGUUUUGCAGCAUACAAGCAAUGACCCAUAUUGCUUUGUGGAAUUUUAUGAACACAGAGAUGCAGCUGCUGCAUUAGCUGCUAUGAAUGGGAGAAAAAUUUUGGGAAAGGAGGUCAAAGUAAACUGGGCAACAACACCAAGUAGCCAGAAAAAAGAUACUUCCAAUCACUUCCAUGUGUUUGUUGGGGAUUUGAGUCCAGAAAUUACAACAGAAGAUAUCAAAUCAGCAUUUGCCCCCUUUGGUAAAAUAUCGGAUGCCCGAGUAGUUAAAGACAUGGCAACUGGAAAAUCCAAAGGCUAUGGUUUUGUAUCUUUUUAUAACAAACUGGAUGCAGAAAAUGCAAUUGUGCAUAUGGGAGGUCAAUGGUUGGGUGGUCGUCAGAUCAGAACCAACUGGGCCACACGUAAACCACCUGCACCUAAAAGUACACAAGAAAAUAACACUAAGCAGUUGAGAUUUGAAGAUGUAGUAAACCAGUCAAGUCCAAAAAAUUGUACUGUGUACUGUGGAGGAAUUGCCUCUGGGUUAACAGAUCAGCUUAUGAGACAGACUUUCUCACCAUUUGGACAAAUUAUGGAAAUAAGAGUUUUUCCAGAGAAAGGCUAUUCAUUUGUCAGAUUUUCAACCCAUGAAAGUGCAGCCCAUGCCAUUGUUUCAGUGAAUGGCACCACGAUUGAAGGACAUGUUGUUAAAUGCUAUUGGGGUAAAGAAUCUCCUGAUAUGACUAAAAACUUCCAACAGGUGUCACCACCCCAAUAAACUUAGACAAUGAUAAAUAACAGAGUCCUAUUCACAUAAGGGUCGACUAUAGUCAGUGGGGCCAGUGGAGUCAGGUUUAUGGAAACCCACAACAGUAUGGACAGUAUAUGGCAAAUGGGUGGCAAGUACCGCCUUACGGAGUAUACGGGCAACCAUGGAACCAACAAGGAUUUGGAGUAGAUCAAUCACCUUCUGCUGCUUGGAUGGGUGGAUUUGGUGCUCAGCCUCCCCAAGGACAAGCUCCUCCCCCUGUAAUACCUCCUCCUAACCAAGCUGGAUAUGGUAUGGCAAGUUACCAAACACAGUGAGCUGGGACUCUAAACAAAAUUGUAAUUCACGAUAGCUUCAGUUUCCUGUGACACUCUGAAGACAUGAAAGUAGACAUCGGAAAAUGAAAAUAUUUAUUUUAAAAAUUGAAAUGUUUGGAACCUUUAGCACAGCUUUGCUUUGGUGAAGGACACAUGUCUUCUAGUUCUGCCUUUUUAAGUUUUUGUUCAUGAUGGAUAUGAACAUGAUUUUUCUUUGUGUACAAAAACUAAAAUAAAGUCAAUAAAGACAAUUCUGACUACAAAUUUUGAUAUAAUAGGAGAAAUGGGUAAUACAUUUUGAUUCUUAAAUACUAUUCCAUUUUUAUCUUGCUGUUCAGUAUUUUAACUCACUGUGUUUUUAAAAGAGCAAAAAAAAGGGAGGAUCGUGAAAAACUGGGAAUCACAUAUAAGUUCAUCCUGAACCUUGAUACUCCCCUCCCCUCCCCUGAGGUGGACCACAUUCGAAGUCAGCAGAAAAAAAGUGUGAUAUUGAGAAGAAAUUGCAUGUUUUUGGAGUCGCUUUGGAGGAAAUACUUUCUUUAUACCUAAAGAAACUGAAGCCAGACUGAUAAAGAAAUUUUACAAACUAAAUAAGGAACAGCAUUAUUUGAGUUACUUGAGUGAAUGUUGGUGGUCCACAUUAAGACAUAUUUUUAAAACUUUAAAAAGUGUUGAUUAUUAAAACUGUAGUAAAUUACAUUUCAUUUUGGGGGGGAAAUUCCAAGUAUGGUGUUUGUAUUUAAGUCAGACAGUCAUACUUGUGCUUUUACAUGAAGUUUAAAUGAUAUACAUUGUAAAUAUUGAAUAACUACAGUGUUUAAAAAGCAUGCUUCAACAUAGAAGUAGCAGCAAUGUAAUUAUUUGAAGUAACACUUAACACACUCCACUGCAUUGAAUGCAAUGGAUUGAUAAGAAUGUUUAAGACUGACACUUCCAAGGUUGGCUACUAUGUAAAAUUAAAAUUAUACAAAUUACUAUACAGAAAAAGCCUUAAUUUUAAUUUCAUACAAAUCUUUGAUGCAUAAGUACAUUUUAAAAUGUCAUUGGAAAUUAGAUUUUUUUUUCUUUACAUCACUUGGUAUGUAAAUACCUUGAUUAAAACCUUGUAAACCUAUUCCAAGGUUCCUAUAAGUUGUAUAGUACAAGUGUUUUUAAAAAAUCUUGGGGUGUUUUUUAAAAUUAGAUAUAUUUUGCCCGAGAAUUUUUUUAACAAGAUUGCUAAAACAUCUUAUUUAGACAGUUUGAUGUACCAAUUUAUAAUUGGGUAUUCAGCUUAAGUAGUACACAGAGUUGUGACUUUUAUUUUUAUUUAACUUUUUUUUCCUUGUGGGUAGUGUGCAUGGGAUAAUAAGCCUGAUCAGAGGCUGAGUUGUAUGUGUGCAGAGUUUGUAAAUGAACCAAUUGGGUAGAUGUAGAAUACUGAAGUUUGCUUCUGAGAUAUUUUUUCAGGCUGUGUGGAUAAAACCUGCCUCAAAUUUCUAUCAUAACAAGAAUGUAAAAGAUAAAAUCCUAUGUAUUCGAAUUCUGACAGCUAGAGGGUGCAAAUGUUUAGGCAGUGUAUUUGAAAUGUUGCUUUGAGGCCUGGGCACCAAAAUGAGAAAACCUUUACCAGUUAAGUAGUAAGGUGCAAUUAAUACCCGCAAAUUACUAUUUUUUGAACAUUUAAAGUCUUACAAUUAGCUUUAAAAUAAUGAUGAUUUUAUAAAUUGGUGACUACAAUAAUUCUGGUAUUAUUUUUCUUCUUCCCUCAUUUACAAGAACAGUCAAAUGUAUUAAACAUGAAUAUUUGUGGGGUCUGAAGUUCAUCUUUGGGCCAGAUUUGUUAUGGCACUUUAGUUUUAACCACAGGAGUCAUCUGUGACCCUCUUCUGUGUAAAAUUUACCCUUAUUUCUUUGUUAAUGGCUAGUGUCCUUGGGGGAUGUUAUGGAAAAGUUACUUUAUAUUUUAUAAGGAGAACACUCAAAUUAUAUCAAUUAUGCCUCCUAGUUUAAAAUUUCUUGAAUAUAUGUGAAACUUGAACAACUAAAGACUUUUUUUUAUAUAUUGAUAUUCUCAGUUUGCCUUUUUUGGUCUGCCAGUAAAUUAAGUAGCUUAUUGCAAUAGCAGUUAAACGUAGCUGCAGUGUUUCCUGGUUGUAUAUUCUAUGAUUUAAUAAAAUUAUCCAGACUAGUUAUAUCGCCAUAGUAAACGUAUUACUGAAGUGUCCUUCGUCUCAAUCUGAAAGAGAGAAAGGUUUCAUGAUCAGUUAGUGGAAGUUAUUUCAUAUUAAAUGGUUUUUAAAAUACAAAGCUACUUAUCCAAAUGAAAUGCACCAUUUUAAAAUACAACUGUCAAGCUAACACAGACUCAAGUCUAUUUUAUAAUAAAGUGAAGUCAGUGCUAUCUUGAUCAACUUAAGCCUAAGAAUCGUUGUCUUUUCCAUGUUCAUUAAAAACAACAGCAGAGAUUCUUUGGCACGUGACAAAAUGUUUCUUAUUUCUUAAUUAUUUUGAGAUUUAUUUUGGUGAUGUGUUUCUGACUGCCAUCUUUGCUCUAAUAAUCUCUCUACUAGUAUUUCCCCCAUAUCAUUCCCACUUGAUUUUUAUGUCUGCUGGCAGUGAGAGGCUAAAAUGACUGGCCAACGUAAGCCAAAGCUGUAAACCACAGUUGAAGUAAGUCUUUCAAUAAAGACUAGACUAUAUGAUAA